UACAGAGGUCUCAAGCGUUGUUCGGAUUCAUUGGGCGUAAAGGGCGUGUAGGUGGCGCGCUAAGUCGGGUGUGAAAGUUCGGAGCUCAACUCCGGAACUGCAUUCGAUACUGGCGUGCUUGAGGACUGGAGAGGAGACUGGAAUUCCUGGUGUAGCAGUGAAAUGCGCAGAGAUCAUGAGGAAGACCAGUGGCGAAGGCGGGUCUCUGGACAGUUCCUGACACUGAGACGCGAAGGCCAGGGGAGCAAACGGG
rnacentral:rRNA from 1 species